UAUACUCAAUAGAAUGCAACCAAUGCAAUAGUAUGUACAUAGGCGAAACCGGCAGACAAGUAAUAGAUAGAAUGAAUAAGCACAUCAGAUCCAUAAAUAGAAAGGAUAGAAAAAUUCCCUUUUAUUCCAACACAUUCAAAAUACAGGUCACACCUUCAACCUAAGUAACCCAAAAACCUUUUAUACCAAUAUAAACAACGGGCAGAAAAGACUAUGCUUAGAAGCCUUUUAUCAUUAAAACACGCCAGCAUCAAUAGGCACAUUGAAAUUCCAGAAUCAUACACAGAACUCAUAACUAGCAAUUAAACGUACACUUCCCCAUAUUUAAUACAGUAACUCUUGUUUCAUAACCCUGUUCCAUAGCUAAUUCAAAUUUCAUAAGUUAAAUUAUUAUAUAAUAGUUUUUACCUUAAUUUAGAAAUACGUAAAUAGUCUGGAUACUUAGCAUAUAUCAAGAAGUUAAUAGUUCUUUUAUGAAAAAAUUUGUAAAGAUGUAAAUAUAUUAGGUAAAUAUAUAGCAGCUUCUAACGAUUCACCACCAUCGCGUUGUUCCUGUAGAAGGACCACCAUACCCGAAAGCUAGAGCCUUAUUAAGCGGUUUAAAAAAAAAAACGCAACCUCGGAGUUUUAUUAUUUGUCAUAAAGAUUUCGCAGAGGUUAAGAUAUUGGAAUUAGGUUACUAUCUGGAUAUAUAUGGGAGGGACCCUACUUGUAAAGAUUAUACCAAAAUCUAACAAGUAAGCUAUGAAGACAAGCAAACUAUAGACUUAAUAUUAUUGACGAUGACAUUUGUAAUAUUUUUUUUUUAAACAAAAGGGUUUACAAUAAAAUCAUAAAGAGAACAAUCUAGGAGUAUAGGCGACAUGGGUCUUAUUAGAUUUAAAUCAAGAGAUGGUAUAAUGGUAAAUAUGAUGGAAUAACUCACUGAAACACAGACAAGAGAACAGGCUCCUAUGGCAGGCACGUUCGGCAGUGUAUGUUGGCCAGUAAUUAUUAGAAGACUUGAUUAUUAGUAACAUUCCCUCCAAAUAAAUAAGAAUCAUACUAUAUUUCGCUUUAAACAGUGAAAGAAAGGACAAAUUCUUCACAUUAGGAUACAAAUAUUACUAAAACCUGACAUAGAGAUACCCUCAAGGCAGCCCUAAUAAAGUCGUAUUUUGCAACUGUUGAUGUGUCAACAUAUCACAGCAAAGACAUAGUACACUACUCUAUUCCAUCAGAGUCGGUAGUCUAUAUUCAGUACAAUUUGUGAUAAUAGGGUGUGGGGGUAGUACCAUAAAACAAGAGAAUGAAAAAUGUAUGAGGGGAAACAAAACUCUCCAUAUAAGUUGUAUACUAGAUAUUUAUUCGGAUUAGGCGAGAUUUUUGGGGACAUUUUAUACUGGCGAGACAUGCUCUUUACAUAAUGAUCUAGGUAGAGGUGACUUAAGGUUACAAAUUCUUCUUUAUAUAGGGGAAAACAUAGAUCUCCAUCUAUUCUAGCGGGACAAGAUAUAUGAACCCUUAAAGCCCUUUAGGGCCCAUUCAAAAUCUAAAUAGUUUAGUUUCUAUUUGAAAAAUAAAAGGGCCCCCAUAAUGGCGGGGGCUUACCUUCUCUCGAAAGCGGCGGCAAGGUCUGGUCUCAUCUACGUCUCACGACUGGCGGAAUCUCUCCUGUCACUGAGCGACUCUGUGUAUCUCUCCUUUUUAGCCAAGAAAAACCUCCUUUUAUCCUUGCCUCUCUUCAUUUUCAUUCGCUGAUCAUGCCAAAGUUUUUAUUGGCUGGCAUUUUCAUUCGUCGAGAGCAAACACGCACGUGAUCAUGACCACGCCCCCAAUUUACCGUGCUGCCGCGCGGGAAAAAUUGUAUAUAUAUAUUGAAAAACAAAUUAAUUUCUUUAGUAAAUUAAAUGAUAUAUAUAUCCCGAGUAUAUAAAAGAAAAGGUUAUUGAUUUAAUGUUUAUAUGACAAAUUGUUUUCCUUUGGUCACCUCUAACUAAAUGAAGGGAAUAUAUGUACAUAUGGUACAGCAGCUCCCAGCACGGAUGUCUCUGGAUGUCACCCAUGUCUUCCUCCCCACCAGGCAUCAGCUUUCGGCAUGGAAGUCUGGUGUCCUCAAGUGUCUAGUUUUGUUUGUACAUGUGCUCUUUGUACAUCCUUCGUUUCGGCCCUUCCGCAGCGGGUUUUGGGUCUUUAGAGCAUCGUCGGCCAUCGUUGGGAGUUCUCCACCUAGGCAACAAACACUUCGGCGAGACACUGUGUAUAUAUUUAUAUGAUCUAAGUGUUUACAUCUUUGUUGGGUCUUGUUUGGUGGAAAAUCUGACCCAACACUAUCAGGGAUUGGCUAUCUGUAUAUACUUGAAUUGACUUUUGAGUUUUGAAUCCAUGAUCAUCCAGAAGAUUAUCAUACCAUUUAACAUCACAAACUCUUUCACAAAAAGCUAAUAACUCAGCCUCCAUUGUGUACAUUGCAACCAUUAUUUGUUUGUUGCAUUUACAAUUAACUAUAUUGUUGCCAAUUUUAAUAAAGUGUCCACCAAAUGAUUUGGCAUCUUUCGCAGUGCACCAGCUGGCAUCUGAUAUGGCAGUUUAUUGUUCUGAUCCUUCACUGAAUUUUCGUUUUAUAUUUCUUGUUGUUAAGUACCUCAAAGUGGGUUAACGAAAAGAAAAAUCUUAAUACAACAAUAUUGUUGGGUCCAUUUCUAUCGUGGUGAAGUAUACAAUCAUUACUUCUACGGUUUGAAUAACAUACACCUCAUUCUGAUGCGCUUUAAGAGGAUUUAUGAUCAUAUUAAGUUAUCGAUAAAAUAGCAAAACACAUUCAAUGACAAGUAUAUUAUAACACAACGUUAAUUCAGUUUCCAGUAUGACGAGAUAUACACCACUACACAUACAAAUUCGAACGCUAUAUAUAUAUAUACAUACACAAUAAAAUAAAGGGAAUGAAAUUGACUUAAAUGUUAACAUGUGUUAUAUAUAUAUGGGCAUAUGUAAUUGUUUAUUGGUAGAACUGACCAUGGAAGUACCAUUGUAUGUCUAGUCUGGUAUAAAGCACAAUAAAUUCAAAUUGAUAAAAAGAAAUAUAUGUGAGAAAUUUUAUUAUAUCUUUAGCGGCUCCCAAAUAUUAACUUUUCAUAUUUUCAUUAUGAGUUUUAAUUUGUUGAAUAACCAUUCAAUUCAAAUAUUAAAAGGAUAUGUAAAAUAACAUUAACUUGUGAUGAUGAUAUAUUCAAUCACUGAAUAACCUAACACAUCUUAUAAAUAUAUAAUGCUUAUAAAAUAUACUUUAUUAAAAUUAUAUAUGAAAAUUAACAUUAAUAUCAUAUUAAUUGUUGUCAUAUCAAUAUAAUAAAAUAAUUAUACAUCAUUCUAAAUAUAAAUCUUAAAUCAUAUAAAAUGUAAGUAUUUAUCUAUAAUAUAUCAAACAAAUAUGUCUAACAUUAUAUAAUAUAGAAAUGAUAUUUGACCACAGACAUAGAUACAAAAAAGAACUUUAACAUGUAGUAUACAACAAUGCAACCCCUUCUGAUAAUUUGUAUUAAAUAAAUGUAAUUAAAAGUUUAUUUUACAAUAAAUAAUUUGUUAUCUGACUCCGCCUAGAAUUCCAUGCCGCCCACAAAAUGGUGAGCCCUAUUAUAUAAACUAACAUUUGCAAGCAAUCAAACAAUAAUUUCAAUUCGAUCAAAAGUGAAAAAUAAAAUUAUUCAUAAUAUCAAAUUAUAAAUAUUUAAGAAAUACAUAUUAAAUAUUUAUAUUUAAAACAAAAAUUAUAACAUAUUUUGCAAUAUUUAAAAACUACGAAAACUGUUGUUUAUGUUGUUCUUUGUGCCUAUUUGAUCACGCAGAAUGCAACUGACCUAAGUAUUUAUUUAUUAACUUAUCUUUUUAUAACAUGGUUAUAUAUCUAAGAAUUUUUACCAGUCGAGUCUGCCGUGUUGCUGGAUCAAUCAUAACAUGUUUCCUUUAAACAAAAAUAAAAAAGGAUUGCAGUUCUCCUAGUCUCUAUAACGCAAAGGUUUUCUCACUGUUCUACCACUGCGGGUUCGCACACUAGGAGAAGUAGAUGAUUCUUCACCUUUCUUGGCAACGUCGUUCCUUGGAUCAUAUGCUCUUCUGUUUUCGGAAGUGGGUCUUCCAUGAUCUUGUAUGUUGCCAUCCAUGGCUGUCCCUGCUUGAGAUCCAGGAAUGCUUGGACUUUGAAUUGUUGGGGCAGAAUCUUCUACACUGAACUUUCUCGGUCUAAGGUGAGACCUGUUCCUGCGGUAUUCAGAAUACUUGGUGUUUUCACCAUAUAUGAGCGUGGAGUUUCAUGCUUUGCGGUCACUGUUGCCGGAACCCAUUUUCUAUGCCUUUCCUGCAACAUGAUGUUGUUUCUCUUUGGACUUCCUGCAUACUUUUGUUGAUGGUCUCUCAAUUUUUGGUAAUUCUUUGUUGUGUCAAACAGUGGUUUCAACUGUUGUCGGGUGUAUGUCAAAAGAGUUCUCACAGAUCUUCCCAUAAGCAUUUGGGUCGGAGAUGGCAAGUCAUACUUAGGUGUGUUGUUGAACUCCAUCAAAGCCAGAUUGGGAUCUCUUCCUGACUUCACAGCUUUAAUUAUCAGUCCUUUGAUGGUUUGAAUUGUCCUCUCAACUUGUCCAUUAGAUCUUGGAUAUUUGGGACUGGAGUUUUGGUGUUUGAAUUCAUAUUUCUGAGCAAAAUUUUUGAAUCCAGUAGAGUUAAAAGGGGGUCCAUUAUCCGAAACUAGAGUCCUUGGAAUUCCAUGAGUCCUGAAAAUGGUUUUCAACUGCAUGAUGGUUUCGGUUUCUCUUUUGCUUGAUAAUUUCCGGAUUUCAACAAACUUUGAGUGGUAAUCGACAACCAAGAUGGAACUGGUUCCACUCACCUCCAUGAAAUCUACAGCAAUUUUUUCCCAUGGAAAUUCAGGGAUUUCAUGAGCUAUUCUCGACUCCUCAGGAUUCUUUCUUGAAUAUUCCUGACAUGUUCUGCACUUUCCACUUCAUUUUCUACUUGUGUUAUCAUGCCUGGCCAGUAAAAUGCAGAUCUUGCUUUUUCUUUGGAAGCUGCUAUGCCCUGGUGUGAUGAAUGAACAACCUGCAGGAUUUCUUUUCGAAGAGUCGAUGGCACCAUGAUGCAAUUUCCUUUGUAAACAAUUCCGUCACUCACAUGAAUUUCAUCUUGAAAUUGCCAGUAGGGUUUUGCUUCAUCACAGACCUUAGUUUUAUAUUUCGGCCAUCCAUUCUUCGCAUACUCUAUUAGAUGUAUCAAGGUGUGGUCCCCAUGAGUUUCCUUUUGCAGUCUCUUUAUUUUUUCAUCUGUGGUAACCAGCAACAUGUGCACUGAUUCAGUUUGACCUUCUAAAUAGCUUGUGUCCACCUCAUCUUUUAAUGGAUCUCUAGACAGAUGGUCAGCUACAAACAUGUUUUUCCCUGGUGUAAACUUCAAAGAUAUUUGAAAUCUCAUCAGACGUAAGACCAUUCUUUGUAGUCUUGGGGAAAGCUUUUCUAAAGGUUUCUUAACAAUACUCAGGAGAGGUUUGUGGUCAGUUUCCACAAUAACAUCAUUUCCCCAAACAUAGUACUGGAAGCGUUCACAUCCAAAGACUAUAGCCAAAAGUUCUUUCUCUAUCUGUGCGUAUUUUCUUUGAGUUGCAUUCAGGCUGAAGGACGCAUACUCAAUUGCAUGUCCCCUUUGCAUGAGCACUGUACCAAUACCAUAUUGGCUUGCAUCAGAUGAAAUGGUGAUUGGCUUGGUUGGGUCAAAAAAUGUCAAUAUUGGAGCAUUCGAAACCAUAUCCUUGAGUUUUUCAAAACAAUCAUUUUCUUCGCCUCCAAAUUUCCAUUCACUCUUGUUGCUUAUCAAUUUCCUUAGAGGUGCAGUCUUGUCAGAAAGAUUAGGAAUGAAUUUGCCAAGGUACGUCACCAUACCUAAGAAUCUUUGGGCUUCAGUCUUGUUCUCAGGUCUUUUCAACUUUUGUAUUGCCUCUGCUCUUGAAGCUUGAAUGGCUAUUCUAUCUCGACUGAUUAUAUGGCCUAAGAAAUUUACUUUGUCGACAGCUAUCUGCUGCUUCUUGGCAUUGAGCUUGAUAUUAUUUUCUUCCAACCUUCGAAGAACUGUUUCAAGGUUUCGGUUGUGCUCUUCCAUUGUGCUUCCAUAGAUCAAGAUGUCAUCCAUAUAGCAAGCAGUUCCCUGGAGACCUGAAAGAAUAUUGUUUAUGCAUCGCUGGAAUACCUCCGAUGCACUGUUCAAUCCAUAGGGAAGUCGCUUGAACCGGAAUCUUCCAAAGGGAGUUGCAAUGGUGCACAGGUUGGUGCUUUCUUUGUCUAAUGGGACUUGCCAGAAAGCUGAUGAUGCAUCAAAUACAGAGAAAACUGUAGUACCUUUCAGUUCAGAAAAUAUUGUUUCAGCUGUUGGCAGAAUAUAGCGCUCUCUCUGAACAUAUUUGUUCAGUUUCCUGGGGUCCAUGCAAAUUCUGACAUCCCCAGAAGAUUUUUGUACCACUACAAUAGGGUGUGUCCAUUCGCUUGGUUCUUCAACUUUUUCAAUAAUGUCAAGUUUUUCCAUCCGUUCCAAUUCUGCUUUAACUUUUUCUCUAAUGGAAAAAGGAUUUUUUUCAGCUUGGAGCAAUAACUGGAGUUGUAUUUUCAUUUAGUGUAAUCUUGUGUUCAAUUGGCAGUCUUCCUAUGCCUUCAAAUAUAUUUUUGUGCCUGUUCAAAAUUUCUUUUGCUGAAUUGUUCUGCUGUAUUUGGACAGCAUCACAUUUCUUAAUUAGUGAAAGCUUUUCAAUAGCUUCUAUUCCUAAAAUUGGUUGAUAGUAUCCAUCAGCAAUGAAAAAUUCUAGACUUUCCGUCUUAUUUUUAGUUUUGCAAUUUAGUGUGGCAAAUCCUUUUAUCUUGAUUUCAUGUCCUGUAUAUGAUGUUAGCUUUCGGUUAGUCUGAAAUAUUUCCAAACCUUUCAUUUGUCUGGUGAAUGUGUAUGGCAAAACAUUUACUUCUGCUCCAGAGUCCAACUUGAAACAUAUUUCCUUUCCAUUCACUAUGAUGGAUUUUUUCCAUUCCAAAGUAUGGACUACUUUUGCUUCAUGUAUUGACCAUACAGUUUCUUCUGUUUCAUCAUUCAGACUUCUGAUAGCUGAACUUUUACAGAAAGCUGCAAAAUGAUUCAUCUUUUUGCAUUUGGAGCAUCUUUCACCCCAUGCAGGACAAUUUUUUGCUCUGUGAGACUUCCCACACCUUUGGCAUUUGAAUUCUUUUUCAGAUUCUUGAUUUUGUUUUGGACUGUGUUUCUUUUCAUAUUUUCUUAUUUGACAGAUGUUCUGGUUGUUCUGCAUGAUCUUGAUCUGUUGCUUGCUUAUUUCAUCUGUUUUGCACAUUUCAAUGGCUUUUAGAAGAGUUAAAUUGGGCUCUCUUAAGAGGCGUUCCUGCAAAGCCUUGUCUUGUAUUCCAUACACAAUGCGAUCCCUAAUUAAACUAUCCUUUUGUGAUUCAAAUUCACAUGAUGUGGAUAAUCCUUUUAGUUCUGUUAUAAAACUAUCGAUGGAUUCACCAUCCUUCUGGGUCGCUGAAAAAAAUUUGAAUCUUUCAAAAAUGACGUUCUUUUUAGGCUCGCAAAAAUCAUCAAAUUUGUUUAUUACAAGAUCGAAAUUUUCUGCUUCAUCUUCUUUUAAAUGAAAUGUGUUGAAAACUUCCAAGGCUUCUUCGCCAAUAAAAUUUAAUAAAAUGGCAACUUUCAGUUUAUCAGGCUUUGUGGCUUUUUCUGUUGCUUCAAGAUAAAGCAUUAAUCGCUGUUUGAACCUUCGCCAAUUUUCCGCUACAUUACCGUGCAAGGCGAGUUCGCUAGGCCUAACAAAGUCCAUGCUUUAUUUUUUUCACUAAUAUUUUUCAAUAAUAUAUUUAUUUGAAAAAGUACUCACUUUUCCGCUGCCACCAUGUUGUUUAUGUUGUUCUUUGUGCCUAUUUGAUCACGCAGAAUGCAACUGAGCUAAGUAUUUAUUUAUUAACUUAUCUUUUUAUAACAUGGUUAUAUAUCUAAGAAUGUUUACCAGUCGAGUCUGCCGUGUUGCCGGAUCAAUCAUAACAAAAACGUACAUCGUUUGGUAUUUAAUUCAAGGCAAAUUUUCAACUUAAAAACAAAUCAGAUAUCAAAUAUAGUUUUAAAAGAAAUAAAUAUUAAAUAAAUUCAAAUAACAUUUAAUUGGCAAUCAAAAAAUAUAUAGAAAACUUACAAUUUAAAAAUUAUAACUUGAUAAUAUAUUCAAAUAUUUUUUCUUAUCAAAUAAAAAAUUCUAAUUCAAAAUUAUAAUUCUUAAUUUUAAUAAUUAAAAUAAUCUGAAUUUUAAUCUCUUAAGGAUAUAUAAUUUUUUCAAUACAAUAUAUUCUCAAAAUGGAUUCAAUUAAAGCACCCGAAUUUUGGCCAAACGAUCCAGAAUUGUGGUUCAUAACAUUGGAAUCACAAUUUUUAUUGAACAAGCCAAGUCCAAUUACAAAUAAUGACACCAAAUUUUCUUAUCUAAUUUCACUUUUACCUCCAUCAACUGCCAUAGAGGUACGUGAAUUCAUUAUGUCACCUCCACCAGACAAUAAAUACGACGCGCUAAAGAAGGUCAUAAUUAAAUGUACCGCUGACAGCGAAUUUAAAAAACUACAGCAAUUGUUGACUCAAGAAGAACUUGGAGACAGCCUGCCUAGCCAAUUAUUACGCCGCUUAAAACAAUUGGUUGGAGAAAGCAAAGUCGUCAAUGACAAAACAUUAAAAAUACUCUGGAUGCAACGUUUACCUAAAAACAUCCAAAUAAUUCUGACAACGCAAGAGCAAGCAUCAACAACAACAACAAAAAGCCUUU
rnacentral:piRNA from 1 species